rnacentral:sRNA from 1 species
CAACUCGGUGAGGUGCUCACAGGCGAAC